GACGAACGCUGGCGGCGUGCUUAACACAUGCAAGUCGAACGAUGAAGCCGGAGCUUGCUCCGGUGGAUUAGUGGCGAACGGGUGAGUAACACGUGAGCAAUCUGCCCUUGACUCUGGGAUAACUGCGGGAAACUGUAGCUAAUACCGGAUACGACACCUUGGGGCAUCCCAGGGUGUGGAAAGAAUUUCGGUCAAGGAUGAGCUCGCGGCCUAUCAGCUAGUUGGUGAGGUAAUGGCUCACCAAGGCGACGACGGGUAGCCGGCCUGAGAGGGGGACCGGCCACACUGGAACUGAGACCCGGUCCAGAAUCCAACGGGAGGCAGCAGUGGGGAAUAUUGCACAAUGGGCGAACGCCUGAUGCAGCAACGCCGCGUGAGGGAUGAAGGCCUUCGGGUUGUAAACCUCUUUUAGCAGGGAAGAAGCGAAAGUGACGGUACCUGCAGAAAAAGCACCGGCUAACUACGUGCCAGCCGCCGCCGUAA
rnacentral:rRNA from 1 species